rnacentral:lncRNA from 1 species
AAGUCUCUAUCUUUUCCCUUUCCUCAGUUCCAGCAGGUUUGACAUUGAGAGAAGCGUUAUACAUUGCCGAGGUCAUAUUCCAAACAGGUCGAAUGACUGUGCUGGAUGUGGUUGAACUGAAUCCAGAACUUGGAACAGAGACGGAUGCCAAGACGACAACCGACAAUACAGUCCUGGUCAUUGAACAUUAUUUUGGCAAAAAACGGAUGGGAAACUUGUCUUAAGGUGUCACCUAAACCUUCGUUUGAAUAAUCCGGUGGAUCCAUUACAAUUCACAGCCGCUAUACUCCCCCUCUAAUAGCCAUUAAUCUCUCUCCAUCCCUCCCCUUCUAACAGCCACUAUAUUCUCAAUCCCGCCUCUCACACAAUGUCCAGCUUCAACUAUGAAUUGCUCUAUUUUAAUUAUUCACGAUGAUUCAUUUAGAUAAUUAUGUGGGGUUUUUUCUUAUACAAUCUAUUUAAUACUAGACUCUUGUAUUUUUUACUGUGUUCUACAUACAUACAUGCAUACACACACACAUACAUGUAUGAAUAUAUAUACAUACAUAUAUCAAUAAACCCGACGAAUGGGUGUUAUGCCAUCUGUUAUGGUAUAGCUGCAAAAGUACUUCAUUAAGAGAUUCGAAUCAUACAGGUAGGUGUGUGAACGUUUGCUAUAGUCGUAAGAGGACGCUAUAUAUUCUCCCGGGUCUUCAGGUUACACCUUAAUUAAAACAGGUAAAUAGUGAUAUCUUCCUAAGGUCCACGCUUGCAGAGAAAGGAAAAGAGUAAAAGUGGUGAGCUUCAACUAUUCUAGCCAGGAAGUUUAUUAAUUCCCUACCACCACCACCACUGCAUGUAAUGAGCCUCUUUAAUUAAGACUAGAAGUGGAUAAAAUCGAGUAUCCAAGGAAACCGGUGAUUACCUGUACCGGUAAAUAUAAAUCAAUAUAAAAUUUGAAAGACCCCAAAAGUUGAAGGUAAAAUUGAAGAAAAUACUGUUUCAUCGAAUUGAUCUUUCCUGUUAAGGUGCGUGUAUAUAUAUAUAUAUAUAUAUAUAUAUAUAUAUAUAUAUAUAUAUAUAUAUAUUACUAUUUUGCUUUGGCAUAGCGACAGUAAUAACUUGAGGUUAGAGUACGCACCUGCUUCAGAAUAAAGCGUUUGUCGAUUGCAGAGCGUAAUAUGAAAUUAAAUGAGAGACAAAGAGACGGGAAAUUAUGUAAUAAACCUCAUUGCAUAAUCCCCUGCGUGUGUGUGUGUGUGUGUAUGUAUGUGUUUGUAGGGAUUACAAAUUAAUAAAUCGACAGAUGCAAUAUUUUGCAUAAAUAUAUACAUAUAUACAGAAAUUAACUUUUGUUCUUGUUAAACCUUAUUUUCAUGAGAUAAAUAAAAAUGUUGACAGCCA